GGAAAGAUGUGAAAAAAAGGGGAAAAGACUACCAUCGUCACAUCUUUCAACAGGAACCUCACUGCCAGGAACGAUGCUAACCCAGCUACUAAUGCUUUUGUCACUUCUCCCGAGAUAGUCACUGCCCUGGCCCUCGCUGGGACCCUCAGCUUCAACCCUGAAAAUGACUACCUGACUGCUCCAAUGGGGAGAAGUUCAAGCUGGAGCCCCCCACUAGCUCCCCUCCAGAGACUUUGACCCAGACCAGGACACCUACCAGCACCUCCCUGCUGAGAGCAGCUCAGUCAAGGUAGAUGUAAAUCCUUCCACUAACCACCUGCAGCUGCUGGAGCCAUUCGACAAGUGGAAUGGAAAAGACCUAGAGGACAUGACAGUCCAAACCAUCACAAUGAAGUGAUCCUUGUAAACCUGAUGGAAUAUCUCAUAAGCUCCAUUUUGACUGAAAACUAUUAACUGUUAACUUCAUAUACUGUGCCCUUCAUCCAUACACAUUAAGGCAAACAGCUAGACACUUCAAUGUACAAAGCUACAGUGUCCAGAUGUUUUUAUAUUUAAAAACAAAAUAUGUGACCAGUAAGUAAGAUUUGUUUGUGGUAGGAAAGGGUGAACUUGAGCCUAAGAAAGAGGGCAGAGACAUUAAAAAUUAGUUUAAAACACAUCUGUUGUUUUAAGAAUUAAUAAUGGAGAAAGGAAUUGUUAAUGGGUUUUUAUAACUGUUAAAUAUUUUUAUUGACUCGCCCUAAUUUCCCCUUCAUCUCUUCUUUCUCUCUUCUGCUGAAAUGCUGUAGGUGAAGGGAAACUGCACCACUGACCACAUCAGUGCCGACAGGCCCUAGCUGAAAUUUCGUGGCCACCUGAACAACAUCUCCAACAAUCUGCUGAUCGGUGCGGUCAAUAUCGAGAACGCCGCCGUCAACAAGAUCAAGAACCAGCUGACUGGAGAGUAUGGUGGGCUGCCAGUUGUGGCUCGCUACUACAAGGCUAACGGAGCGAGCUGGGUGGUAGUUGGUGACGAGAACUAUGGAGAGGGAUCCAGCAGAGAGCACGCUGCCCAAGAGCCACGACACCUGGGAGGACGCGCCAUCAUCAUUAAGAGCUUUGCCAGAAUAAACGAGACUAACCUGAAGAAGCAAGGCCUGCUGCCUCUGAUGUUUGCUGACCCUCAUGACUAUGAUAGAAUUUGCCCAGAUGAUAAGAUUUCAAUCACUGGCCUGAAAUCAUUUGCCCCUGGCAAGGUGAGCAAAAACUCUGCACUAAUGAAACAUUGAUGCAAAGGACGAUCCAGCUCUUCUUUUUCAUUUUCCUUUGCAUUAACAAGACUAUAAUAAUUGUGCAUCUUCCUCCGGCCCCUAACACCCGUGAUCAAACACAGUGAGGGCAGCCAGGAGUCCAUCUCUCUAAACCACACCUUUAGCGACACACAGAUUGAAUGGUUCAAGGCUGGCUCCACCCUCAAUAUGGUAAAGGCGCUCCAGUAACCUUAAGGGGGGGGAGCUGUUGGGGAGGGAGGUGGCUUGUGGGCUUAAAAAAAAUGUGUAGCUGGAGAGGGGUCUUUGCAAACAGGGAAAGACGAUGUGAAAGAGAGAACAGUCACUCACAUGGGCUCAAACACACAGACAGGAUUACAGUGCGAGCCGUCCCGAUUGACAGGCAGAAUUGCACAAAUGCUCUUAGUUGACGCUUCGCAGCGUCCUCCAAACCUGCAGUACUCCUCAGUUCAGAAUCACAUUUAUUAUUCUCAGUUAUUCGUUGUAGCAUUUAGUUCAUACGCAGGUACUCCUCUCUUCCACUGAAUGUGAGCACUGAUAUCAUUACUGUAUUCCUCUCGAAUGUAGAAGCGUUAUUCAUUAUGCACUGCAUGUAAGAUGCAUGUAUGCAGUCCCUGUCUGUGCAUCAUUUAUUGUUUGUUUCAGCACACUCAGUCCAAACAGCUGCGUUCCUUCAUCCCCAAACCUUGAAGUCAGAAGAGGUGGAGGUUCAAUCUCACACGGUUGUUGGGCGAUUGUCCCAGUCCCAGUUUUUCUGUUUGCCCUCGUCAUCACCCGGACCUGCCGGUUAGUGUGUGAUUUCCUAGCGUAGCUGUAAUGGGAGAUCACUGAGUGUCUUUGAGCCAAAUGUUUCUCAAGGUUGGCGCGAUAGACCUGCUGUGUUCUUGCACAAUCUGGUGUCCAGAUGCUUGUACAAUAGCAUUUUAUAGAGACAGAAAGAAAGAAGUUUAAGUUUAAGGUUGUUUCACCAUUCAGUGUUUCUCCUCUGCAGACCCUCUUGCAAACAUGAGACUCUCUAAGACUAAUCCGCAACUUGUAAUACCACUUGUUAAUACUCACUUUUAAGAUGCAUAUGAAUAAAAGAAGGAGUAAUAUAAAAGUGACAUGCUGAAUGCUGCCUGUCUAAAUGAGAGCCAUUAACUUGCUGCUUGAUUUUUACAGUAAAAAGGGGCUCGUUUGUCUAUUUUCUUAACAUUUAGUCUUGUUCAAAUGAUCUAAAGCUCAUCUAAAAUAAAAGCACCCUCUCUCAUUGCUCUAGCUUUUAUCUGAAGUGUGAGUCCACACAAGGAUGUGAAGCAUUAAGCAGAACAAGGAAAGUGAGUGAAUCAGCUGUGCGAUGCAUGCUUGGAUGAGUUAGUAUGCAUUAGAGUCGGGCCAGCUCCUUAUGUCCUCGACGCCACAGUCGCCCCUUGAUGACUGCUAGGCAGCUAGACUUCUUCACCUCCGCCCAAUAGUUAUGUGACCUACAAAUACAAGCCGAGGAGGGUCACCGCACUGUUCAUACAUUCGUGUUUUAUUCUGAUGGUUAAAAACUACCAAAUGAAAACACCUGAAAAUUAAGAUCUAUCAAUAUUAUAUAGUAUGGAUCAAUAUUAUCUGUGAUUUUGCUUUUUAAAACUAAAUUUCUUCACUUUCACUGAUGACUUGACUUUUCAUAGAUGUCUGUAACCAGAGUUUUAUGCAGCUUUCCAGAAUUCAUCAGGAUCAAAUGCUGAUUAAAGUGACCACCGUCCUUUUUAAACAGCUGCUCGUGAAGCCUAUACUGUGAUGUAAGGUGAUGCUUAUUGUUCACUGGUUACUGCUUUUGAUGUUUAAAUCAUUGCUGUAAAGCAGCAAAUCAGAUGAUAUUGCUCAUGAAGGCAUUGUGUGGUAGCAUGUCUGUUUGGUGCUCAGGUGUGCUCUGUGUGGUCACAGUUAUGCUUCUGAAAUCACUUUCUUUUGUUCAGAUGCAGCGAAUAAAAAUUGAACAUGAACUGAUGUUAUUUCAUAAUGCCGAUUCUCCUCUCAUUAAACUUGAUUUUGUUAAAGAAAACAGUGGAAAUC